rnacentral:misc_RNA from 1 species
CUGUUCAUGAACUCGGCAGCACAAAAGAGAUCAAAGAUUGCUGACAGUACUGUCAGUCAAUUUUCCAAAAAGUUUAUGAGCAGGUUUAUAUUGGAUAUUCUUUUCUUUCAAUUACGAAAAACGAGAAGAUUUAAAAAUCAAGCAUAGUCAUGAUACUUUAACCAACUUGAAGACAAUAACACAGGAAUUAAAGGCAUAAAUAUAAUCGGCUGAGGUAGAAUUCCGCGUCAAACAAUUGAUUACUCAUACGACUGUAUUAGGUCAUCGAAAUUGACGUUGCGACAUGUGCACAUGUGAAUCAUAAACGGUAAACAUUCUUCUAUUCUGUCAGGGACUUACAUCAUUCACGAUCAAUACUCCGACGGUACCGUCGACGAUUCUUUUAUAACUAACGAGAUAGAUUGUAGGUUAAUUUAUUUAUAUUCAAUGUCCUACCACCCAUAAAUCUCGGUUUUUUACUCGGUGCUGUGUUUUCUCGUGUCUAUUGAAACUCAAGCUCCAAAUAAAUUUCCUUGCCAAUAAACAUAUUCUCUUAUAUUAUAUACACUAUAGUUUCGUGCUUUCUCAGUAUAAAUAAACACCUUUGGCAAGUACAUACACAAAAAUGGGUCAGCUUCAAAGCAUGAUGUAUGAAACACGAGUCAAGUUUGAUGAGAACAGCGACAAUGGUUUGGUAUUAACGGACAGAUACUUACCUGAAGAGUUAUUGAGUGAGAUAUUGUUUCACGUCGAUCAUAAGACACUGUUGAAUUGUCAACUGGUUUGCAAGCGGUGGCAAUUGAUUUUGCAAAAUUAUGUAUGGAGGAAGAAAGCGGAAGCUGUAAUCGGACAACAUCUCGACAUCAAUGAAGAAACAUCUUGGUUGCUUUACUACAAUAUCUGCUCUAAAAAAUUCUUGGAGAAAAACUUAAUCAAGAAUCAUUCGGGAAAAAAUGGGCCAAGAAAGCAUUGGAAGGUAAUAACUGAAAAUGGGGAUAAUUGGGGAGUAGAAUGUCCUCCCAUCGGUGCCCCUCCGCUGCCCAUUUCUGAGCCAAUUUUUGAGGGGAAGCAACAUUGCUUUGUUACAUCCUACUAUAAUUGUAGCAAGCAACAAACCAUAGAUUUGAUUGCCGAGGGAGUGCCACCACAACUACUAGAAAUAUUUCAACCGCCAAUUGUGGUCAGCGAGUGGUACUGCUCCAGAGAAGAUUGCCCAGCUGCAUAUGAAUUUUCGGCAACAUUGAUCGAUGAUUCUGGGAACAUUAUGGAUACUACUGAAUUCCGCGAUACCCUUGAAAAUGAGAGGCAAAACACAUGGUUUUACAUCGAACACGAAUUCACCAAUUAUGGGCCUGGAUUGAGGAAGGUGAUCUUUCAGCAUGCAGGUAUAGACAGGAGGUUUUGGUCAGGACAUUAUGGCAGUAAAAUGGCUGGUGCAUGCGUUAAAGUAAACCUUCCGAAACACAAGUCUAUGAAAAUUAGAGAAACAGGAGACAGCCAAAAUGGCUAGCGCUUGUGUUGAAGUCAACGUUCCGAAACACAAGUCUAUAAAGAUUAGAGAAAGAGGAGAUCCUUUGUCACACUUAAAAUAACGCGUGACUAAAGACUGCAAAACAAAAUUGAUUGUCACUGGAUUGACUAAAAAAUUAUGGAUUUAUAUGGCCAGAGGGGCAAUUGCUCGAUCGUGUUCACAACUUUAAUGUGUAAAUAUACAAAUAAUAAUUAUACCUAGAUCUGUACAGUAUUUACGAAAAUGAUAUUUAAUUACGUCUGCUAAUGAGAAUGGUGAAUGGCACGAAUUGGAAUACAAUCGUUUCCUGCGUCCAACUCUCCAAUUUCUUACCUCAAGUUUUUAAAUUGUAAGUGAGAAAAUAAAAAACUUAUAGAUCUGUUCA